CCCUUGUCAGUGCUUUAGUUGAACGUUGUAUAUUAUCGAAUGUUGCUGCUACUAUUUUGUUUGGCAGUGGAUGGCAGUGCUAGGAAGCACCUAUUUGAAGUGGAAGGAAUGUUGCACAUAUCCACAUGCAGCCUCAACAGCAAUAUUAGGAUCAAAGUGGCUUAGUUUGAUCACAGGGAGCAUUCAUUUGACAAGCAUUUGUAGGAUAGUCCUCAUUACUGAAGUUGAAUCUGAAAUGAAAUUCAUGAAGGAACUGCAGCGAGGAAUUCAAAGUUUGGUGAAACGGAGAUAAUGUGAUGGACUAUUCACUAUGUGAUUCAUUAUGUGAUUCACAUCAGUGUUCUCGUAUUGAUGAAAUGCUGUAAAUAAGGUAUAUGGUGAGAUGUGUGAAUGAGGACUCCAAAACCGUUUCUAAGAAAGGUGUUAAUACACUAUUUAAGAUGUUUAUUUAAAAAAAAAAAAGGACGCCAAUUUAAGGAUUGAAUUGAAGUCAGGUUACUGAACGAAUUUCGAUUUCCCGUCCUUUGAUUUUUGCUGGUUGUUUAGCGGUUACCUACAGCUGUACUCUCUGCCCAGUCUCAUCUCUGCACCAACACUG